UAGAGACCCAUAAUUAUUUUCUCAAAUUUUAAAUGUUUAAUAUGUAUUUGGAUUAUCAAAAUAUGGAUAAUGCAGAAGAUAUGAGUUAGGUCAAUGUGAGAUGACUUGUAAGUUGUGGGAGUUGAUGAUGUAGUUAUAUACUUGAAGGGUGUGUGUGUGAAUUGGCCUAUAUAAGGAUCAAAAUAUCAGGGAAGAUUAUUUUCUUCCCCUGUACGUCUCUCUUUCUCCCGUCCUCUCCUCUCUCUCGGCUCUCACCUCUUUCACCUUCUCUCUUCGAUUUCAUCGACCACGAGUGAGACUUUUGAAAGAUCCCAAGUACUAAAGUUGUUCUUUGCGACGAGAGCUUCCUAUCCAUCCAAGAAAAUUCAUGAUUGGAGUACUUCGAAGUUUCCUCCUUGUUCGGGCUUGCUUCUAAUCUUCGAGGAAGUUCGAGUCGUCACGUGGAUCGAGGUGAGUGAUUAAUACCCAAAACACAUGGUUUGUUACAAGCUUUAUGCUUCAAUGAUGUUUUAUAAUUUGAUAUGAACUCCAUGGAAUAUCAAUGGAAGGUGGACAUGUUUUAUAUCUAUUAAUGGCAUCCUCCCACGUCCCAGCUUGCUAGGGGACACGUGCUAAAAGGCUAGCAAGACAUGGCUAUCAAAUCGGAUAACGAAAGACGUCUUAACUUAUCCACUACCGGGGACGCCUGGUAGACAUGAAAUGAAUAGAGGAUGUGCAUUACUAUGCUAUGUUGCUAUGAAAUGUGAUUCGAUUUUAAAUGGUUUUAUCAUUGUCCAUGGAAAGCAUGUGAAUUGCAUAUUAAUCAUUCAUACGAGCUUUGGCUUAUGUAUUUUCUUUUCCACCUUUCAGGAAGCGACGCGUAGUGUGGCAGAGUGUUUACUUUUGAGAUGUGUUGUAUAUUUGGAAAAGGAAGUUAUGCUUCAUGGUCACUUAGCUUUGUGUAUGAUUUGUUUAGUUUGUAAAUUUGUAGGUAAGCACAGCUCUGAGAGGUUUAUCCUUUUGGUUUGUUAACCUAUGUAAGACUUUGGUUUGUUAUCAAUAAAAGUUAACUUUUGCUUC